UCUACCUUCCGGGUUGGGGAAUAACCCAGGGAAACUUGGGCUAACACCGCAUAAUGCAGCGGCACCACAUGGUGACAGUUGUUAAAGCGGGGGAUUUUAGGACCUCGCGCCUGAAGAGGAGCCUGCGGCGGAUUAGCUAGUUGGUGAGGUAACGGCUCACCAAGGUAACGAUCCGUAGCCGGCCUGAGAGGGCGGUCGGCCACACUGACACUGACAUACGGGUCAG
rnacentral:rRNA from 1 species